rnacentral:rRNA from 1 species
AUUGAACGCUGGCGGCAGGCCUAACACAUGCAAGUCGAGCGAGUGGCGGACGGUUGAGUAAUGUCUGGGACACUGCCCGAUGGAGGGGGAUAACUACUGGAAACGGUAGCUACUACCGCAUACCAUCGGAUGUGCCCAUAUGGGAUUAGCUUGUAGGUGGGGUAACGGCUCACCUAGGCGACGAUCCCUAGCUGGUCUGAGAGGAGGACCAGCCACACGGGAACUGAGACACGGUCCAGACUCCUACGGGAGGCAGAAGUGGGGAAGAUUGCACAAUGGGCGCAAGCCUGAUGCAGCCAUGCCGCGUGUAUGAAGAAGGCCUUCGGGUUGUAAAGUACUUUCAGCGGGGAGGCGUUACCAGCAGAAGAAGCACCGGCUAACUCCGUGCCAGCAGCCGCGGUAAUAC